GACGAACGCUGGCGGCGUGCUUAACACAUGCAAGUCGAACGGAAAGGCCCUUCGGGGUACUCGAGUGGCGAACGGGUGAGUAACACGUGGGUGAUCUGCCCUGCACUUUGGGAUAAGCCUGGGAAACUGGGUCUAAUACCGAAUAUGAUCAUCGGCUUCAUGGUCGGUGGUGGAAAGCUUUUGCGGUGUGGGAUGGGCCCGCGGCCUAUCAGCUUGUUGGUGGGGUAAUGGCCUACCAAGGCGACGACGGGUAGCCGGCCUGAGAGGGUGACCGGCCACACUGGGACUGAGAUACGGCCCAGACUCCUACGGGAGGCAGCAGUGGGGAAUAUUGCACAAUGGGCGCAAGCCUGAUGCAGCGACGCCGCGUGAGGGAUGACGGCCUUCGGGUUGUAAACCUCUUUCAGCACAGACGAAGCGCAAGUGACGGUAUGUGCAGAAGAAGGACCGGCAAACUACGUG
rnacentral:rRNA from 1 species